rnacentral:rRNA from 1 species
UCUACUUUAAGAUUACCAUAAGAAUAAAAAAUCAAAAUGUAAUCUUAAAAUUUAGCCUGAGGAGGGACAGCUCUUCAGGAAUGGAAACAACCUUUUAUAGUGAGUAAAUCAUAUCUACUUAAACCAUUGUUGGCCUAAAGGCAGCCACCAAUAAAGAAAGCGUUAAAGCUCAACACUACAUACUCAUUAAUUCCAUAAGCCACAAUGAACUCCUACAAACACUAAUCGGGUCAAUCUAUAAAUAUAUAGAUGAGAUACUGUUAACAUGAGUAACAAGAACACUGUUCUCCAAGCACAAGCCUAUAACAACCCGGAUAACCAUUGUUAGUUAACAUUCACAGGUAAGACACCACCAAUUAAGCUAACCUGUAACCCAAAAAUGUUAGUCCAACACAGGCGUGCAGCAAGGAAAGAUUAAAAGAAGUAAAAGGAACUCGGCAAACAAGAAUCCCGCCUGUUUACCAAAAACAUCACCUCUAGCAUAAAAAGUAUUAGAGGCACUGCCUGCCCAGUGACAAACGUUCAACGGCCGCGGUAUCCUGACCGUGCAAAGGUAGCAUAAUCACUUGUUCCUUAAUUGGGGACUGGAAUGAAUGGCCUCACGAGGAUUCAACUGUCUCUUACCUCUAAUCAGUGAAAUUGACCUCCCCGUGAAGAGGCGGGGAUACAAUAACAAGACGAGAAGACCCUAUGGAGCUUUAAUUUCCUGUCUUAUCUGCCAAACCAUAAACCCUACUGGGCCAAAAAAAAAGAAGUAAGUCAGUAAUUUCGGUUGGGGUGACCUCGGAGAAUAAAAGAACCUCCGAAUGAUUUUAACUAAGACCUACAAGUCAAAGUAUUAAAAAUCAAAUUGACCCAAUUCAUUUGAUCAACGGACCAAGUUACCCUAGGGAUAACAGCGCAAUCCUAUUCAAGAGUCCAUAUCGACAAUUAGGGUUUACGACCUCGAUGUUGGAUCAGGACAUCCCAAUGGUGCAGCAGCUAUUAAUGGUUCGUUUGUUCAACGAUUAAAGUCCUACGUGAUCUGAGUCAGACCGAU